UCAUAUUACACACACACACUUUGCAAAGAUGUUUACCUACGGGGGCUCAAGUAUAAAUACCAAAAAUAGCCUCAGAGGGCGCUAGUUCGGCAGAUCUCUCUGCCGGAGACGGAGAUUACCAUGCAUGGGAAGAAUGCUUAUGACAUCAACAAACUAAGGUGUCACCUUUCAUGUUAUUACUAUGUUAGAUCAUGUUUUGCAGCAAGCAUCUCAAUCAUUGAUUCUUCGUUUCUUCAGUUAUGCAAUUAGGCAUGCACAUACAUUGGUCGAUGGCAUUUGACAUGGAGCUGAUUAAGGAAUGAGCAGAGGGUAAGAGGGUCUUACCAUUGUUUUUAUUUCCUGCAGGGAUGGUUUCACACACUAUGGAACUAGCAGGCCUGGUGUUCCAGAUGCGAAGGCUGAACUGGAUGAUGAGAUGAAUGGCGAACGGAGCCGUGAGCACAAGGAAAACCACCACGAGGCAACUCCUCUUAUAUGGCCUGGCUUGGGCACUGCUGGCCUGCGAUCCGGCUGGCGAUUACUCAUAUGCCCGAGGAAAGCGAGAGCAAGUCAAUGUCAUCUUGCAGCAUGAGUUGCUCACGGGCGAGUCCGACGAGGUUCUAGCGUUGAUAGCUGCUGUUGAAUCUGUCAUCGUUUUCCCUGAAGAAAGCUAAGGACAGAACAAGCUUUGGAGAAGGGGCGUCCUUUUCGAUGUAGCUGCUUGCUGAGGUCUGUUCCAGAACAUCUGAUUUGCAGUCAGGUUGCCGGCGAUACCUGGAACACACUGUCAUUUCCUCUAAUUAUUUACUAGUAAUAAUAAUCAUCCGUUCCAAAUUGUAGGUCGUUUUUAGUUUUUUUUAGUCUAUAGGUAUUAUUACGUGGAUAUAGUGUAUGCCUAAUAUCUGUGAAUUCAAAAGAUUUCACUCCUACACAGUUCACUGCCAUGCAAUGCACCGGAUAUAGCUGAGGUUGAGAGUCUGAGAGACCGGAGAAGAGAGAGCACCAAGCUGGCGGCGAGUUGGAGUUGGCCUGUCUCUGCAAAUUUGUGUUAGUCUCUUCUUCAAAUCUUACAUGUUUGACGCUCGUCAUCUUCCAUCCUGCGCUUAUGGUAAAUACAAGAUGUCAUGUUCGUCCUUGUAUGUUGGAUUUGG
rnacentral:lncRNA from 1 species